AUUGAACGCUGGCGGAAUGCUUUACACAUGCAAGCCGAACGGCAGCACGGACUUCGGUCUGGUGGCGAGUGGCGAACGGGUGAGUAAUAUAUCGGAACGUAUCCAGUAAUGGGGGAUAACUAAUCGAAAGGUUGGCUAAUACCGCAUACGUCCUACGGGAGAAAGCUAGGGACCUUCGGGCCUGGCGUUAAUGGAGCGGCCGAUAUCGGAUUAGCUAGUUGGUGAGGUAAAGGCUCACCAAGGCGACGAUCCGUAGCUGGUCUGAGAGGACGACCAGCCACACUGGAACUGAGACACGGUCCAGACUCCUACGGGAGGCAGCAGUGGGGAAUUUUGGACAAUGGGCGAAAGCCUGAUCCAGCCAUUCCGCGUGAGUGAAGAAGGCCUUCGGGUUGUAAAGCUCUUUCGCAAGAGAAGAAAACUUACCCUCUAACAUAGGGUGAGGUUGACGGUAUCUUGAUAAGAAGCACCGGCUAACUACGUGCCAGCAGCCGCCGUAA
rnacentral:rRNA from 1 species